GACAGAGGGGGCAAGCGUUGCUCGGAAUUACUGGGCGUAAAGUGUGCGCAGGCGGCUAAGCAAGUCGAGUGUGAAAGCCCCGGGCUUAACUUGGGAAUUGCGCUCGAAACUACUUGGCUGGAGUGUGGCAGAGGAAGGUGGAAUUCCACGUGUAGCGGUGAAAUGCGUAGAGAUGUGGAGGAACACCAAUGGCGAAGGCAGCCUUCUGGGCCAACACUGACGCUCAUGCACGAAAGCGUGGGGAGCAAACAGG
rnacentral:rRNA from 1 species